rnacentral:pre_miRNA from 1 species
UCCAACAAAAGAUGUCUCAAGUUUGUCAAAAUUUGGAUGUAUCUAGACAUGAUUUAGUGUAUAGAUGUAUUCAAAUUUAGUCAAAGUUGAGACAUCAUUUGUUGGA